UUUGAGGGAAACACGGUCACACGAAUCUAUGGGGCAUAAAAGAAAACACCAUUGUAAGGGGGUUGAGAAUACCAGGACUUCAGCGUUCUAAUUCUGCUUCCAGAUGCAUUUUGAACAAUGCAGCCUAUGGAUGAAUGAGAUGCCCUUUUGAUGUGAGAUCUUUUCCCAGAACAUGGAAAAUGCUCGACUGUGUUUUGACAGAGUUAUUCUUUUGCUAAGUCAUCUUUUUAAAACUUUUGUUUUGAAGCAAAUUAGAGAAAAUUAUAUAAUAAAGCAUCAUUUUUUUUUUCAUCACCAAGUUUCACCAGUCAUCAAUACACAUCCAAUCUUGUUUCAUCCGUAUAACCUGGUAUCUUGUUGAGAACUAUCACUUCCCUUUUUGUUUUCAGUAGUGGAAAUAAAAGGGCCAUUUUAUGUUCAGUUAGCCUGUAUUCCUCACUUGGAUAUUAAAGAUGUUGUGAAAUAUAAAAAUCGGGACACAGCUGCAUCACUGAUACCAUUUUAACUUUUCCUGAGGAUGUCCAACUAAGGACCCUCAUGCACAGAAUUUCCUGAGAUGGUCUGGUGCGUGUUCUUCGACGAUGUAUUUAACAAAGGAGACCCUUUCAGAGGUGGCUUAGAGCUGUAAGCAGCAGCUGACAAGAAGCCUAAGCUCUAGACAUUUAACAGCUGGCAGAUACCAAUUAAACAGAAGUCGUGUUUACUUGGAAACCUGAAAAGCUUCUUCUGGCAAUUUCCAACAACUUGGUUACGUUUAGGAUUCCAGUGGAUUUCCGUGGUGCCAGGAGACUAUUUUUCAAAGCUCCUAGAAGACCUGGUGUUUGCUACAAAUAUGAUUUCAUAAACAGAUUAGACAGCUUCCAGGUUGAAGUUUCUGGUAUCUCUGAUGCAAGAGAAUAUAAAGUGAAGGGCAAACAAAAAGUGCGAGUAUUCAAGCUCUGAGAAGUGUUUUCAGUCAAGUACUCGAUUAAUAUUGAACUCCGGAUGCUGCCUAAAAAUGCUUCCAUGUCUAUAUACGUUGUGCUUCAAUUAAAAAAAAAAAUCUCUUCACUAAAAUAUUUCCCUUUCUACAUAUACUAGAAAACAGCUUCUCAAACUCAUCUGACUUACAGAAUAUACUUUAAAGCAAGAGAACUGCUUUUCUUGGAACACUGAAGAGCAGAGAAAUCAGUUUUCAGUCUGCUAUACCGACUCUAACACCUUUAUCAGCUAUGUUUCCUGUUAUGCUCUCGCCAGGAUAAGAGUAAGAGCAAGGAGAAGUUUUAAUGUGACGACCAAAAGAUAAGACUGAAUUACCCCAUCUCCUCUGCGUCUAUCUCCAAAGAAAAAUUAUCUUCAGGCUGUAAAUGACAGAUGAACCAAGAUAAAGAUAAAACUGAAACCCAGGGAAUAAAAAAGGAAAGCAUCUUAACAUUUGAAUAAAGCUUAAAUUUUUAGGCCCAGAAAAAGUACACUUUAAAAUAUUAAAGAAACCUGUAGAUAGGACAUGGGAGCUGUUGUCACUCAGAAAUCAGAGUCAAGAGAAGAGGCACCAGAAAAACUAGAUGUAAGAAAACGUCUCUGUUUUCAAAAUAAAUGCACUCUAGAUACAAGCCAUUAAUCCCUUCAUGUAUCUACCAAUUAUUAAACCAGGGAGGAUCACAGCAGAGAUUCCAAUUCCUAUUAGCAUGUGUGACUUCUCCAAGCCCUAACAUGAAAUGCCCCAGAGAACCUCACUUUCAUUUGUAGACCCAGCGCUAGAUUGGGUACCAGCACCCCAGUUCCAUCAUCUUCCAGCAACAAGAACACCUGAUGAGGGCUUGUGAGCCCAACAUCUGGUCUCCCCCGCCAUAGCCCGCCAGUCGGUCCUGUGACCCUGAGGGAGAGACAACCUUCCUUGGAUUGUUUUCACAUCUGAAUUUGAGAUCUGGGGACCUAAUGGGGAGCGAGUGCUACAGAGUUAAGAACAGGGGCUCUGAACCCAGACCGUUUUACAGGUCUCAAUUCAGGACCCCAACUGGCAUCCCCUGCUGUGCCUGCUUCCUUUUUUGGAAAAGAGUACAUCUACCUUGUCAUUCUGAGGUUUACGUGACUGACUACGCACAGAUAAAAUGUCUAGUAGGCUGCAGACAUUUUACUAAUGCAUCAGCGUCUGCCCCUUCCCUCUAAAUUGUGUGUUCUUUUCCCAGCUCUAAAAACUCAGUGAUUCUCCAGGUUCCUGGUUGCAAGUUACAGAAAGUGAUAGCAGCUGCCUCCAGUCAGAGGGGCAGAGACCUUCAGGGAGGUUGUGCUCAGUUGACAGUCCCUUGUGCUGCCUUAUUGGUAGGAGGCAGAAAGGUGGGCUGGAGUAGCAUGCAGAGAUCAUCUAAGGCCAGGGUGACUGUAUGUCCUGGUGAGUCUGGGACAGUCCUGAUUUUUAACCCCUGUCCCAGCAUCCUGCCCAGUUUAGCACUUGCCCCAGACAAAUGUCUUCUAGGUUGGAUGAUAGAUUUUAACAGCCAGGGAUCACCGUAUUCAGAAACCAGUGCUCGGGGGGCUCGCUGCACUUUCAGCUGGCUCAAAGGACCGACGCCAAAACACUUCCGUAGGCACAGCAGUAGAUCAGCUGGAGAAAGGUAAGUCACAAUCUUUUUCUCCAUUCAGUCUCUUUUGCAAAACAUUCUGGCCCAUGACAUGCAGCAUUAUAUCUCGAGACAUGCAGGCAAUUAUAUCGCGAGAGCACCGACUCACAAGGAACCCUUCCCAGCGUGCCCCCACAGCCACUGCUCCCAGUUCUGUCCAGUACUUUUCUCAGUUGCCUGGAGGAGGACACAGAAGCUGUGCUUCUCAGCUUUGAAAAAGAUGAAGCUUGCAGGAGUAGAAAGCUAAGAGAGGGCAAAUGAUCAAGACUCUGAACUACUAUGUGAACUGAAAGGAUGGACCACAAGCAAACCACCUAAAAUGUGAGGAUACAUUUAAAGGCACGCAUUUAGAUUUUUAAAGUUGCUCAAGGAUGGGCUAUAGGAGCUAUAGCUUGACAACACUCCUACUGAAAACACUUGAGGUUUCAGCAGAACAGAAACACAAAAACAGUAGCUGCUAAGUACAAACACAAUCUUCCAUGUGCACUGAAAAACCAAGUCUUAGGCUGACGGACAGCAGUGGGGGGCCGCGGCGUGAGCUGAACUAGGCAGACCACGCGUCUGCGCUCUGUCCAUCCCGGAGUCACGCUGCCUGACUGGGGCCAGCCCAGGAAGGAGAGGGCCUGGCCCGACGGCUAACUGAAGAGCUGGAGGCUGUGCUCUGAACAGAGUGAGAGACCUGUCCAAGGGCCAUGCCAUUUCCCCUCAGAUAUUCCAAAGGCUGCUACGUGGCUAAGAGAGUGAGCUUCUUUCGGGCUUGUUCCAAAGGGCAUAACCAGCAACUUGGUUUUAUAAGACUCAACUCUGGAUUCAUAUAUACAGAGAGCUUUUCUGACAACUACAGCUGGCCACACACGCGUGAGCCACUCCAUAAAGUGGUGGUUACCAUCACUGGGGACACUCCAGCAGUGGCCACAGCACCGGGGACAGUUUCUGACCUGGGGUUUCUACAGAGGUGGGAGGUGCCCCUGUUCUAUCACUGGGUCAACCCUGUACACUGCAGAACUAGGGGACCCGAGAUAUACUUCUUUUUCCAGUGAUUCUAUUAAAAUACAGCUUGGAGGGGCAGCACCUUAGGGUAUCAUCGGACUUCUUAAUGGGGGUAACGGCGUUGUGAGGGGAAGGACGGCCAAGGUAGCGCGUCCUCAGGCUGUGGGGUGGACUCCGUGAAGGCAGAGUGACCGCUCACCUGAGUGCCUGCAUUUGGCAGCUUGAUAUUCUCGGCGGCGGCAGCUACGUCGAUGGAAGCCCGCAUGAGAAUGUCCAAGUAGUUCAUUUUGGAAUAUUCCUGUUUGGAGACAAAGUUAGCAGAUGCGUUAAGGACGUGAGAAAUGUCCUAAGAGAUAGCAAAUGACUUCCAGGGACAGCCUCGCGGCAGGGCCAAACCUCUAGAAACGUGCUGUUCCAUAACCUCGAGCGCAGAAUGACAGAGGCCUUGCUGUCCAGGCCUCGCAGCGGACAGCUUAUGUUCACGCAGUUCACGUUCGUGCUGCAGUUCUGCGGAGACAAGCGUGGUGGUUAAAAUCCAACAGUGUGGGGAAGACCCUCCUGCUAUUCACAGCUGUUGAAAAAUACUUACAAGGGUCUGAUAUUUUCUUUCAGCAAAUAAAGAAAAUUUUCUGCUA